AGCAGCCGCGGUAAUUCCAGCUCCAAUAGCGUAUAUUAAAGUUGUUGCAGUUAAAAAGCUCGUAGUUGAAUUUCGGGAUCAAGGGAUCGGUCAUGCAUUAGUAUGUACUGGUCUUAUUGGUUCUCACCUUCUAAGGAACCAUGAUGUCAUUUAUUUGAUGUUGUGGGGAAUUAGGACUGUUACCUUGAAAAAUUAGAGUGUUUAAAGCAGGCUUACGCUUGAAUACAUUAGCAUGGAAUAAUGAAAUAGGACAUCAGAUUCUAUUUUGUUGGUUUCUAGGAUCGAUGUAAUGAUUAAUAGGGAUAGUUGGGGGCAUUAGUAUUCAAUUGUCAGAGGUGAAAUUCUUGGAUUUAUUGAAGACUAACUACUGCGAAAGCAUUUGCCAAGGAUGUUUUCAUUAAUACAAGAACGAAAGUUAGGGGAUCGAAGACGAUCAGAUACCGUCGUAGUCUUAACCAUAAACUAUGCCGACUAGGGAUCGGAUGAUGUUAAUUUUAAUGUACUCAUCGGUA
rnacentral:rRNA from 1 species